rnacentral:rRNA from 1 species
CGCUGGCGGCAUGCCUAACACAUGCAAGUCGAACGGAGAAUGUCAAAUGAAGUUUUCGGGACUGGAAUUUGAUAUUCUUAGUGGCGGACGGGUGAGUAACGCGUGAGCAACCUGCCUUUCAGUGGGGGACAACAGUUGGAAACGACUGCUAAUACCGCAUAAAGUAUACGGAUCGCAUGGUCUGUAUACCAAAGAUUUUAUCGGCUGAAAGAUGGGCUCGCGUAUGAUUAGAUAGUUGGUGAGGUAACGGCUCACCAAGUCGACGAUCAUUAGCCGGACUGAGAGGUUGAACGGGCCACAUUGGGACUGAGACACGGCCCAGACUCCUACGGGAGGCAGCAGUGAGGAAUAUUGGGCAAUGGGCGCAAGCCUGACCCAGCAAUGCCGCGUGAAGGAAGAAGGUUUUCGGAUUGUAAACUUCUUUGUCAAGGACGAUAAUGACGGUACUUGACGAAUAAGCCACGGCUAACUACGUG